UACGAAGGGGGCUAGCGUUGUUCGGAAUUACUGGGCGUAAAGCGUGCGCAGGCGGCUUCUCAAGUCAGGGGUGAAAGCCCAGAGCUCAACUCUGGAACUGCCUUUGAGACUGAGAGGCUUGAGUACGGGAGAGGUGAGUGGAAUUCCCAGUGUAGAGGUGAAAUUCGUAGAUAUUGGGAAGAACACCGGUGGCGAAGGCGGCUCACUGGCCCGUAACUGACGCUCAUGCACGACAGCGUGGGGAUCAAACAGG
rnacentral:rRNA from 1 species